GAUCCUGCAGGGGGAGUAAACAGUCGCCAUUAGUUAGAGUGAGCAGCAGCAGAGUGAGAGGCAGAGAGUGAUACAGUCCCUGCAGAGUGAGUUCAGGGGUGAAUCCUCUCAGAUCAGCGCUGGAGUCUGUUGUGGGGGGCUUGACUCAGCAAACUGCUGCUGAAUUACAGUCAUUAGGGGUAGCAGCGCGGCCGGGCCUGGACUGGCGCACAAACACACUUUCACCCUCUCAUACACACUCUCACAGACCCUCACACACACUCUCUAUCACUCUUUCACACUCUCACGCGCUUCUCCACACUCCUUAUACCCUAAAAUGAUCAUUGAAAACCUCGAUGCCUUGAAGACGUGGCUUUCCAAGACCCUCGAGCCCAUAUGUGAUGCUGACCCAUCUGCCCUUGCUAAAUAUGUGGUCGCCUUGGUGAAGAAAGACAAGUCUGAGAAAGAGCUGAAAGCACUAUGCAUAGACCAGUUGGAUGUAUUCCUCCAAAAAGACACACAGACGUUUGUGGAUAAACUUUUUGAAGCUGUGAACGCAAAGAGUUACCUACCUCAGCCUGAGCAGCCCAGCUCCGCCCCCAGAACAGACAACCACCAGCGGACUGAAAAAGAUGAGCAGAAGAAAGAGGAGCAGCCGCCUCGAGACGAGGAUCGGGAUAAGAAGUUCACCAGGAGAGUGAACCACAGCCCUCCGCCCAGCUCUCGCUAUAGCAGAGACAGCAGGAGGGUUGAUGAGCGUAAGAAGGAUGACCGCUCCAGAAAGAGAGAGUACGACAGGAACCCUCCCCGCCGGGACUCGUACCGGGACCGAUAUAACCGGCGGCGUGGGCGGAGCCGGAGCUACAGCCGGAGCCGCAGUCGCAGCUGGAGCAAAGACCGUGCGCGAGAGCGGGACAGAGACAGAGAGCGGGACCGGGACAGAGAGCACAGAGACAGAGAACGCAGCAGGACACGAUCACGAAGCAGAUCCAGAACCCGCAGCAGAGAAAGGGAUCCGGGGAAGUCUAAAUACGACCACGACCGUACCGAGCGGCAGGAAGGUGGAGCCAGUGAGAAUUAUGUGGCCCCGCCUCUUGCAACAGGCACCUCCUCUUCGCACUUUCCUGUCCCCUCCCUCAGCAGCACCAUCACAGUCAUUGCUCCGACUCACCAUGGCAACAGCACCACUGAGAGCUGGUCUGACUUUCACCAGGACCACCACGGCCCCUAUGGACGACCGGCUCCACCCCCUCGCAAACGCUGUCGUGACUAUGAUGAGAAAGGUUUCUGCAUGCGGGGGGAUAUGUGCCCCUUUGACCACGGCAGUGACCCAGUGGUAGUAGAGGAUGUAAACCUGCCCAGCAUCCUCCCCUUCCCGGCUCCACCUCUUCCUGUAGUGGACGGGCCACCUCCCCCAGGUCUCCCACCUCCUCCUUCUCUCCUCACGCCUCCACCGGUUAACCUGCGGCCCCCUGUGCCACCACCCGGCCCCAUGCCCCCCAGCCUCCCACCUGUGGCAGGUCCUCCUCCUCCACUUCCUGCACUGCAGCCAUCAGGGAUGGAUGGUCCUCCAAACUCCAUCACCGGUUCGGUUCCCACCAUCGUCACGUCAGGCAUCCGGCCUCCACUCCCACAGCCUCCACCACACCUCGUCACAUCUGGGGGCCGCCCUUUACUUCCCCAGCCCCCUCCGCCUCUCUACACAUCUGAUUCAUUUGAACCAGAGGUAUACAACCCAGAGGCUCCCAGUAUGAACUCCCGACCCAUGUACAGACACCGGGUCAAUGUCCAGCGGCCUAACCUUAUCGGCCUCACCAUGGGUGAGGUGGACAUGGCCCCACGAGAGAAAAUAAUGAAUAGCAAUAGUGCCCGGAUUGUUCUAGAAUCAGACUCCAGGAAGAGAGGGGCGGGGCUUCAUGAUGGCAUUCCUCCAAAGAAACCUUGGUUUGACAAACACAACUACAACAAACCUAACCACCAUGGCUACCACAAGAAAGUGCCGUUCUCAUUGCCAAAUACUAAACUGGCCAUUCGGCAAAUUCCUCCAGAGCUCAACAACAUCAGCAAACUCAAUGAGCACUUCUGCAAAUUUGGCACUAUAGUCAACCUCCAGGUUGCCUAUAACAACGACCCAGAGGGGGCGCUGAUCCAGUUUGCAUCUCCAGAGGAAGCUAAGCGAGCUAUACAGAGUACAGAAGCUGUACUAAACAACCGCUUUAUUAAAGUCCACUGGCACAGGGAGGACGAACCAGCACCCUCACCUGCACCUACAACGGUUACACCUAUGAGUGUGCAGCAGCCACAGCAGCCUGCAGCCACCUCUCUAAAACAGUCAGUGAAGGACAGACUCGGCCCACUGCCCUCUGGAAAUACAGAGCCGCUGCAGGACCCCAGCUCACCUCCACAGUCUUCACAGAAUGCCGCAGCUAAAUCAUCAGUGAAAGAAAGACUAGGCUUCUCUAAACCAGUGCCCUCUGCAGGAAAGGUCUUCUCCACCUCCACUGGACUUACUAAGACAUUCUAUAACCCAGCAGCACUGAAGACUGGCCAGAAAGGGGCUUCAUUUGGGACACCUGUGAGCCCUGAGGAUGCACUGAAGAAGAAACAGGAGACAUUGAGGCUUCAGCAGGACGUGAGGAAGAAGAAGCAGGAGAUUCUGGAGAAGCACAUCGAGACUCAGAAAUUACUGAUCUCUAAGCUGGAGAAGAAUAAGAGUAUGAAGCCGGAGGAUAAAGCUCAGGUCAUGCAGACACUGACGGCGCUCACUAACAGCAUCUGCAAACUGCAGGAGGAGAUUAAAGGCAUCUCCAGCACCAACACAUUACAGACCUGCAUCAAAACCAAGGCCCAGGCCCAGAAGGAGCUACUGGACACUGAACUGGAUCUUUAUAAGAAAACACAAGCUGGGGAGGACACAGCUCAGCUCAAACUCAAAUAUACCCAACUACAGCUCGAGGCGGCCAAAAGGGGUCUCCUCACCCCAGGACGUGGGAGGGGGGCCCACACCAGGGGCAGAGGAGUCCUCAGGGGACGAGGACGGGGUAUAAGGGGCAGAGCGAGGGCAGUGCCCACCCAUGCUGUGGUGGACCACCGGCCCAGAGCCCUGGAGAUCAGCGGCUUCACUGAGGCAGAACGGGUCGACCUGCUCCCACACUUUGCACAAUUCGGAGACAUUGAGGAUUGCCAGAUGGAGGACAGCAGUCUGAGUGCCAUCAUAACCUACAGGACCCGUGCAGAGGCAGAACUGGCGGCGGUUCACGGACUGAAGCUGAAUAACCACGAGCUUCAUCUGGCCUGGCAUAAACCCACCAUUUCCCACAGCGUAGCAGACACUGAGGAGGCUGAGCCGGAGGAAGAAGAGUUCCAGGAGGAUUCACUGGUGGACGACGCCCUCCUGCAGGAUGAUGAUGAAGAGGAGGAUGAUAACGAGUCACGCUCAUGGCGCAGAUGAAGACGCCUGGCCUCGCACCCAACAUGUCACUUUCUAACGUUUUUUUUUUAUUUUAAAGAAUCUUCUGUUUGCCAUGUGUGUGCUGUUUCUGUUUUUAUCACCUGACCUGAACAGAGUAGAGCUGAGCUGAUAAAUAAUGUAAUAGGAGUGAUUUUUUUUUUUGUUUGUUUUUUUUUUGAAACAAAUAAUAAUUUGAACUACAUUUCAUUUUUGCAUUUCUGAAAGAAUAUCACAAUUGAAUCACAGUAACAGAAGGAAGAAUGUUUUAAUUUCAGAAUUUCAAAGACAGCCGUGAAACAUGUUACAUGUAGGAAACUUUAUUUAGAAUGCUUAGAAAAUUUUGAGGUAGUUGCUUUUUUGUGUACAUAUUUUAUGUAUGAAUUUUAAUGAUUUGUAUGACUGCUUUGCUUCUCCUGACUUUAAUUUGAGAUGUAAAAAAUAAAGAAUUGAAAUGGUCUAGAAAAAAAAUCAGCAUUAAAAAAAGAAAAGAAAAAAAGAGAAAAAACAGUGUGAGUGCUGCUGCUGUAGCUUUAGCACUGAUGGAAAAAAGAAAACAAACAUCAAACAAAAAAAAACCUGAACUAAAAUUGCUGAAAAAGUAAAGACCAUUUCAAACCCCCCCACCCCCAAUAUUCACAAAAAGAGCAAAAUUCCUUAUUCCUUGUUCCUGUACUGAAACUGAGCCAGGUACGUAUUUCUAACGUGGUGUAAGAUCAAGGUAAGUUUUUAUAAACUUUUUCAUACACUAUAUACAACUUUGGAACUAUGUUAUUUUUUUAAGGUAAAAAUUAAGAAAAUAUGUUAUUUUCUGGCAGAGGUCUUAUUUGUAUUUUCUUGUUUUUUGUUUUUCAGAUCUACCAGGGGUUGCAUCAAACUUAUUAACUGGCAAAAUACCACACAAUGACCAGAGUCUCUAAAAUAUGUUUUUGUGAAAUAUUAAUUUCUGUACAUUUUAUGCCUAUUUUAAUGUUUUUCUUAUUAAAUAGAAUGCUUUUUUCUUAUGAAAAAAAUCUUAUUUUUCCUAAAUUUGAGUGGAAUUGUUGUAUUUGUGUAUUCUAUGUCCCACAGUCCCUUCAAAUCAUGCAUACCGAGAUUUGUAGGCUAAUAUAUGUAUUUAAUAUUUAUUUAUUAUAUUUUUUUAUUUUUAUUUUCUCUGUAAAAACUUUUCUCAAACACAGUUAAUUUCUUAACCAUUGUGUGACAUUGAACACUUUAGUGCAUCAUUUUUAUUAAUUUAUUAUUUUUUGGUUUCUAUUUUACAAAUCUCUCAUUGUGAUUUUAUUUUCUUCUUAAUUUCUUCCUCAUUAAAGCAUUUAAAAGUAGAGCUAGUUUUUUAUUAUUAUUAUUAAUUAAUUAAUUAACUAAAAAUGAUGUUGCUGCGGUCUCUGGGCGUGGCCACAGUGGAGUUUCUAUUAAGUCUUUUCAGCUGGUUAAGAGGGGUUCUUCAGUCUCCUUCAGUAUGUGGAAAGGCAGUAAGGGAGCUGUGAAGUCUCACUCUGUGGAAUGCUGCUGUCCAGAGGUGAAGGGUCUCAACGGUCAUACUACAGUCUCAACAACAGAGUCAUGCAAGUAAGUGUUGGAAUAAAAAGGCCACAAAGGAUUUCUUUUUUUUUUUCUUUUUUUUUCAGAAUAAAAACAAACAAACACCACAUCUGGAAGUUCUCGAGCAGAGGGAAAAAAAAAAAAAAAACAUUUAAAAAGGCAUCCUAAUUAUUGGGCUGGGGGGGG